rnacentral:rRNA from 1 species
GACGAACGCUGGCGGCGUGCCUAACACAUGCAAGUCGAGCGGAGCUAGUAGCAAUAUUAGUUUAGCGGCGGACGGGUGAGCAACGCGUGGGCAACCUGCCUUCUACAGGGGGAUAACACAGGGAAACUUGUGCUAAUACCGCAUAACAUACUUGAGGGACAUCCCUUGGGUAUCAAAGGAGCAAUCCGGUAGAAGAUGGGCCCGCGUCCGAUUAGCUAGUUGGAGGUGUAACGGACCACCAAGGCGACGAUCGGUAGCCGAACUGAGAGGUUGAUCGGCCACAUUGGGACUGAGACACGGCCCAGACUCCUACGGGAGGCAGCAGUGGGGAAUAUGGCGCAAUGGGGGAAACCCUGACGCAGCAACGCCGCGUGAAGGAUGAAGGUCUUCGGAUUGUAAACUUCUUUAGUCGGGGACGAAGAAAUGACGGUACCCGAAGAAUAAGCCACGGCUAACUACGUGCCAGCCGCCGCGGUAAAAC